UAUGGCAGCAUACGUGGGAGAACCGAAAGGUUCGCCGUUCCUUGUGUAGCGGUAAGGUCAAUCCUGCGUAUGCUGUCGCCC
rnacentral:antisense_RNA from 16 species